rnacentral:rRNA from 1 species
AUUGAACGCUAGCGGAAUGCUUAACACAUGCAAGUCGAGCGGGGUGAUGGUGCUUGCACUAUCACUUAGCGGCGGACGGGUGAGUAAUGCUUAGGAAUCUGCCUAUUAGUGGGGGACAACAUCUCGAAAGGGAUGCUAAUACCGCAUACGUCCUACGGGAGAAAGCAGGGGAUCACUUGUGACCUUGCGCUAAUAGAUGAGCCUAAGUCGGAUUAGCUAGUUGGUGGGGUAAAGGCCUACCAAGGCGGCGAUCUGUAGCGGGUCUGAGAGGAUGAUCCGCCACACUGGGACUGAGACACGGCCCAGACUCCUACGGGAGGCAGCAGUGGGGAAUAUUGGACAAUGGGGGGAACCCUGAUCCAGCCAUGCCGCGUGUGUGAAGAAGGCCUUAUGGUUGUAAAGCACUUUAAGCGAGGAGGAGGCUCUUUUGGUUAAUACCCAAGAUGAGUGGACGUUACUCGCAGAAUAAGCACCGGCUAACUCUGUGCCAGCAGCCGCAGUAA